GGGGGAAGCAGGUUGAUGGCUACAACCAGACUGGAUGAUCAGCUCAUAGAGGGACAUUUUCAACCAAUKAAGUGUGAAAUUACCUUGGAAUUGGCCAGGUGGACUUGGAUGGACUUGGAUGAACUUGGAUUUCUUCAAACCUUGUCAAUCAGCUUGGAGGUUUGUGGAUGGUGAGCUAACAAACGACUCAGCUAGGAGUUCAGAACCCCGGCCUACAACUGAACUCAUCUUAUGGUCUGGUAGGAGGCUGAUACAGCCUAAGCCCCCCGUCUCACUAGCUUUGCCCACACAAAACUAUCUUCCAACCCACUGCAGUCUUCAGAUGACACUUCAUCGUGCUUGAACUCUUAAAACUUCCUGAACAUUCUGACUUCAACAAACUCUCAUUUGGGAAAAGUUAGUUGUGUCCGACAUGGCACGUUUGGCACC